rnacentral:tRNA from 1 species
UAUAUUUUAGUGUAAAAUGCAUAAAAGAUUUUGAUUCUUUAGGAUAUAGUUUAAUUCUAUAAAAUAUAA